rnacentral:rRNA from 1 species
AGGACGAACGCUGGCGGCGUGCUUAACACAUGCAAGUCGAGCGGUAAGGCCUUUCGGGGUACACGAGCGGCGAACGGGUGAGUAACACGUGGGUGAUCUGCCCUGCACUUCGGGAUAAGCCUGGGAAACUGGGUCUAAUACCGGAUAUGACCUCCUAUCGCAUGGUGGGUGGUGGAAAGAUUUAUCGGUGCAGGAUGGGCCCGCGGCCUAUCAGGCUUGUUGGUGGGGUAAUCGGCCUAACCAAGGCGACGACGGGUAGCCGACCUGAGGAGGGUGACCGGCCACACGUGGGACUGAGACACGGCCCAGACUCCGUACGGGAGGCAGCGAGUGGGGAUAUGCACAAUGGGCGAAAGCCUGAUGCGAGCGACCGCCGCGGUGGAGGA